rnacentral:rRNA from 1 species
UUGAAAGACCAGUUCCCGUACGAUCAUCGAAGUUAAGCAAAGUCGAGCCUGAUCAGUACCUAGAUGGGUGACCGCUUGGGAAUACCAGGUAUUGUAA